AUCAGUAAGCAAAACCUCCGAUCCAAAGCUUGCCACAGCUGUAAUUUCUGCCAAAAUGUCAUGAGAAUCUACAGAGAAGAAUAAUAUCCUCCCUCACUGUAUUGGAAAUCUGGAAGCAAGAACAGAGUGAGGUUUGGGAAGGAGAUGAUAUUCAUAGGAAAAUAAGUAGUAUUCAUCUAAAGAACCCCUUUAUAUUUACUGCCAGUAAGCUCUGAGAAAAGAGCUGCACUUUGAGCAACAGAAUUAUAUUUAUGUCCUAAAGCUGCAAAAAAUUAGAAAGUUGAAUUCUAAUUGUACGGUCCAGCCAAGCUGAUUGUGAGAGUAACAACUUGGUGCUUUUGCUUAGUAGUGGAAUAACCACUGCCAGGGCUCUGACAGGCAGAGCUGCCUGCCAUCUCUACUGAGCUGGAGUGUUCAGUAGACUGUUGACUGGUAUAGAUGUGUGUGAGGAGCUGGGAACCCAUGUACUCCAAAGCUUGGAAUGGCUUUCACUUUCAACACUUUAACUUCCAGCUUUGAAACUACAAAGGAUGUACCUUGUUCUUACUUUGUGAGACUGUAAGAGCAAAAAUGUGGUACUGAGGAACUGCAGUUUGUCUCAUAAUCUGUCACCCAGAAGUGGCAGGUUUUGUGUUUAGCUUGAUACUAUCUUCUGAUGUCUGUUGUUGACCUGAUGUAAUUGAAUGAAUCAUUGACCCAUUAGCCUGUAAUAAUUUCUGUUGAACUGAUUGCCUCAGCUAAUGUGGCUGUUUUUAAGCUUUUUUUUAUCUGGAAUAAAGGUAGUAAUAUAUAGACAAAUACAUGAGCAGUUCAAGGAUGUGCAGCUGCUUUGCAUGUGCUUUUUAAAGGUUGGUAGAAAAAGAUCUUUAUGCUGUUCAGCUGAAAGUAGUGAGAAUCUUAAAUAUCAAUAUGGAAAAAUGGGCAGAUGAGACAAGAGCAGACCUGCAUGAAUAAGCAGUGAAUCCUGUUGCAUAGAAUGAUAGCGUGUAGAACACUGGCCUGCCAAUAAUAAUCAUAGAUGAUGCCCUUAGGAGAGGAGGUGAGCAAAACUAGUUCUUUUUGUCUGGUUAUCAUUAGCUUAUUCUUGAAAUAGCUUAUGAGCUAAAAAUAAUGAUAGCAAACUUUAUGAACAUAUCUUUGUUAUUUUGUCUGACUCAUAAGGGGCAUUUUAUUUCCAGAAAAAAUGAAUGGCUUGUGUAUAUAAGAUCCUCCAAACUUCCUUAAUAUACCAGACUUAAAAGCUUCCUGCUUCCAUUUUUGUACUGUAAAAGAUACAGUUUUUCAUAUACCAAUAAAGUCAUAACAAAUCUGCUAUGGAGGAAAAGGAAGUUAUGCUUGCAUUCUGCAAAUGCAUGUUGUUCUUGAUAGUUCUUUUUCUAAUUUGGUGUUUGAAUAAUAAGACCAGCAAAAGUGAUAUAAUGAUUUAUCUUGCACUUCUGAAGAGUUUCUGUGGCAGUGAAUGAUCCCGUAUAACACUGCUAAAGCUGUCUCAGCAGUGACUGCCUGGUUCUGGCCUUGUUUUGCUGAUUUUGAUAUGCUGUAUUGAAUAGUUUGUUACUGGCAGAAUGAGAGUUGCAAGAGAUUGAGUGUGAGUGUUUAAGCCUGAUGUCAAAUUUCAGGCUCAGCACUGGUUGUAUGCAAGUGAAGUGACGGAGGGUUGAACCUCAUUCACAUGGAUACCUCAGCAUGCCAUUUAGGUGAUACAGUUUCAAAGUGGUUUUGUUUAAUUUCUUCUGCAGCUUGUGUUGAGAAGUCAUGUAAUAACUUUAUCUGCUGCUGAGUUAAUGAGCUCCUUUACUUUGAAUUCUAGGUAGACUAAUAUAAAUGUUUGUACUUUUUUUUGAAACUUAAUGGCAUAAUACUAUUUUCCAGCAGGCAGUAGGUCUGUUUGUAGAUGAUGACGAGAAGUAUAGUUGCAGAAAACAAACAUAUAGUACUUUUCUGCUUCAUUGUUUUCCUUCUGCUAGUAUUUAGGUCUUCCUAAGGCAGUUUUAAAGUGAUUAUAACUGGAGUAGUUGCGUUUCAUCUGGUCAGACCUGAUUUUCCACUUCGGAACUACAGCCUAUGUUGUAUGGAAGCACUAGAGUUCUGUAUUGUUUAAGCAGAUUGGGGUACAGUAUUAUGAUCUUAUUCAUACAUUGUGCUGAUUCUUGCUGAAACUUGUGUUAUCUUGAUCUAAUAUUACAGUUAUAAAAUUGAAAUGGUUUUUUUAAAUUGGAUUUGAGCAGGUCCUGAGCUGCUUGUUAUUUUAGUGUGAAAUCUUUCUGAAGAAGAUGAUGUGACAAAUUGAGGGAGGAAAAAAAGAUUCAUUUACUGACAGAUUGAGUGUAUACUGAUAACUUUCUACUUCAUUAAAACAUUUGCAACAUUUCCAUAAGCAGAUCUUUAAAGGAGCAAGCACCCGUGUGAUGCACUGUUCUUAUUCAUUAAAAAUUGUAGCAUACUUUACUGGAUUAGUACUUUCCAUGAGUUUUGGUGGGACAAAACCCAAGUUGUUCUGGUACGUAAUCAGUCUAGUGGAUGACUUUAUACUCUCAUAUGAAUAGGUUACAUUGCUAAAUCCCAGCUCUAAUUGUAGAACAUGAGUCUGGAAUGAAUUUAGGGAGGACAUACUCAAGUUUACAAAUGUGUUUAUGCAGACACAGGGUGGAGCUGUGACCGCAUCCUGUCACUUUUUGGUAUAUUGUACCCCACUGGAGACCUUGAGCCAUUCCACCCACCCUGUGCAGAGAUUUAUCAUAGGCUGGCCAGUACUUGUACUCUCUUCCUGUCUUUUUGGAAGAUACUGUGUGCUACCCAGUUGCCUCAUAAUCUGUUUCAUUUAACUGCAGAAAGGGAAAUGUCAGUGCUUUUCUUAUGCAGAGCUAGUGAAUGUGCAGAAUGUCCACUGUUUCUGGGUACUGUGUAAGGCUACAGUUGUUCUGCAAAUAGAAGUGCAGAGCUCUUGUUUUCAUUCAGUGUGAAAUAGCUCUUCUUGAAUUUUGCUUUGUUUAAAUUAUUGACUCUUGAUAUUCAAAAGAACUGAGAUGAAUCCAGUUACUUUGCCCUAGUUCUAAGUUUAAGUCAUGCAGAGAUGCUAAGUUUUGUGGCUAAAUGUAAGAUUAUGCCAGAACUAAUUUCAGAGGUUUUUAAAACCUUUGAACCUGUGGUGAGUGACAAGUUGAAAUGAAACUUGAAACCAUAUGGUUAAGAUUUUACAUUUGAACAACUUAGUACUUUAAAAGUGCUGAGAAUAUGUUAGUUUGGCUGUAUUUUCUGCCUUUGUUAAUAAUAAAAUGAACUCAAGGACAAAUAUUUUUCUUUUGAAGAAUGCUAAUAGCACUUCCAUUUAUUUUAUUUUUAACAGUUAUUUUAAAAUGAAUUGAAAUGGUUUUCCAUGGAGUUUUAUCAAUUGCAAAAAAACCACAAAAAACAACCCAUAUGUAAGGUGGAAGAUGUUAUAUUGUUUCUCAUAGCUCUGGGGGACUCGUUUGUAUCACAGAUGACUUUUCUUUUGGAGUAAAGGGUAGUUUCUAGGCAAUGCUUUCUCAUGUGUUAUUGUAGAAACCAGUAUCUUCAGCCUGUGUAGUUCUGAAAUGUAAAUUUCUUACACUUAUUUUUCUAACUGGAAAUACAUAGUACCUUUAUUCUUGUUUUGUCUACAAAAUUAGUUUCAAUAGCUUUAAUAGUUUUACUUGAGAGAGCAUAUAAUACUUGUCUCUCUCCUGAGUUGGAUAUGUAGGUAAUUUUAACAUAGUGUUUUUUUUUUUUUUUUUAAUCGUUGCUCAUCUGAUGAGUUUCUUGUCUGACAUGUUAAGAAACUCUUCUGCCAUCUGUGGAGACACUUUUUUUUUAAUGUUCUCUACAUAACAUUUAGAAAAUAGGACACUAAAAUGAAUUUGAAUUGUGGUGUUUACAUUUUUUUUUGAAGAACGGUAUACAUGUGUGACUUGAAUUUGUAUUCCUAGGUCCUUUGACACAAGUAUGACUUUAGCCUCGCUUCAGUUAUGACUGUUUUUUGUCUUGUGGUUUGUGGAUCAUUGUCCCCCACCCCCCUGACGCCCCCUCUAUUGUAGACUUAGGCAGAUAGCAAUAGUAACAGCUUGAAGUUCUCUAAAAAUAUGCUUUUGAUGUUAUUGUAAUCUUACCUAGCACAGCUAUGUUUUUACAUUUUUCUGGCUUCCUAGAGUGCUAGAGCAGAAACAUUUGUGUGUAUAUAUAUUUUUUUCAAACUACCAGUAUAAUAUUUCCUGUCAAUAUUCAAGUGUUACAGUAUCAUGAAUUCAUUAGGAAUCUGUCAAUUAGUACUCAUGAUUGUCUUUAUAGUGAACUUAGUUUCAGAAUUUUUCUUGAUCCUCUUAUUUUUUUGUACAUAGUGUACAUAGUACUUCUUUGGAACAUGGAGUAUUCCAGGUUGCAGGAUUUACCAAUUUGUUGGAAACUGAUUAAUAAACUGUAACUGAUUCAUUUAGAAAUUCUGUUUGAAGCUAGGAAUGAGGCUGGAGUAAGAAAUGCUUUGAAGGCUUUUGGAAGGGUUAUCAGAAGGUGCCCUUCUGCAAAGUGGCUGUUGGAAGCGAGUCCAUUCCCAGAACUCCAAUUUUGUUGGAUAAGUUGGAUAUCUGACAUUAUUGUGGUGGUCUCUCCUGAAAAUAUUGAAACAAUGAAGACUAUCAUUGAAAAAUAUGGCCACAAAAGAGUUACAGUAGUAGAAGGUGGAAUAACUCGUCACCGGUCAAUUUUCAAUGGACUGAAAGUAUUUGCAGAGAAGGAAUUUUCCAGCCAUCUGCUCCAGAAACCAGAAGUAGUGAUUAUCCAUGAUGCUGUGAGGCCAUUUGUAGAAGAAGAUAUUCUUUCAAAAGUGGUUAUGGCUGCUAAAGAACAUGGGGCAGCAGGAGCAAUUCGUCCUCUAGUUUCUACUGUUGUUGCCUCUGCUGCAGAUGGCUGUUUAGACCACUCAUUAGAACGUGCCAGGUACAGAGCGAGUGAAAUGCCUCAAGCUUUCUUGUUUGAUGUAAUCUAUGAAGCAUAUCAACAGUGUACUGACUAUGACCUGGAUUAUGGAACUGAAUGUUUGCAUCUGGCUCUGAAAUACUGUAAAACAAAUGCCAAACUUGUUGAAGGAACAGCUGACCUCUGGAAGGUGACCUACAAGCGGGAUCUGUAUGCAGCUGAAUCGAUUAUUAAGGACAACCUUUCACAAGAAGUUUGUGUUAUUACCGAUGCAAAUGAAACUGUUGCACAAGUUGGUUUUCUCCUUCCUGAAUCUCUGAAAAGACAAAUAAAAGUUGAAACUGUAUCAAUAUCUCAAAGCAGAAAUGAUAGCCAUCUACAAAGCAUCUUUUCAGGACAGUGCUACAAUUUUGUUUGUGUAAAUGAUAAAAAGUGUGCCAUUCAAGAAACUCAGCAACUAGUGCAUAUGUUGGAAAAAUCAGAUGUUCCUCUCUUGCAUCCAGUUGUCCUUAUUUCGGUGUACUUGGAUAUAUCAGGAAAUAAUUCUUUCAGCAUUGGGAUGGAAGAACUAGCUAGCAUCAAGAAAUUUGCAAGGGAAACUAAAAAGAAAAACAUUUUGGUUUAUGGUCUCCUUAUCCAAUAUAAGCCACAGUUGCAAAGCAAAAUUUGCCAAAGAGGACAGUGGACAGCUAGCAGAAGGGGUGAACAAAAUGUACUUUGGAUGAACACAUCCAAAGUACAGAAAUCAUGCUGAUUUCUGCUUAUGAUGGCUGGCAUUUGAAGACACAGUUGAAAUUUUUUAUAGUACAAACAAAGGACCCUUCACUUCUUCAGGAGACAGUAAAUUCUGCUGCUGCUCUUAUCAUGGCAUUAAUAAAGGACAGAAACCCGGA